CCCAGAAGAAGGAUAACUGAGUCAUAUAUGAGUUCUACUUUUAAUUUUUUUGACGAGUAUAUUUCUUUACCCUAAGCCAUGUGUUUAAAAGACUUUUUCCAGAGAGCUCUUCCUGUCGGGUUGGAUUGCCUUCUGAGCAGCUGGGUUCAGCUUGUCAAUUAAUGAGUGACUGGCCUCUGGAUCCAAGGUUCUGGAAGCGGAGCGGUGCCUGGGAAACACCAUCCCUACUCACUGUGUGCUGAGGCCCCGAAGACAUUUGGGAGGACACGGGAUCAAUGAAGGAAACGGCUAAACGCAUGAGUACAAUUGACCUGCUCAGUGACAAGGAAAAGCGCUCACAAGUUUUUUUCCCCUCAGACCUGCAUCGUACACUGACUAGGAGACUGGAGCCUGCUGAGAAGGUUUCCACUAAUGUUUCAGGGGUCCCCAGUAAGCAUGGUUGCAUCACUUUGGUUUAUAAUAAUAAACUGUACUUUCAUUCCACAACAAACCUA
rnacentral:lncRNA from 1 species